GGUGGAGUUGAUGAUAGAUCAUGGGCACAAGCACAUCGCUAUGUGCUAUUACACCAUGAAGCUAUUGAACCAUUCCAGAAUGAGUAUAAAAAUUUAUUGAGAGAUCAAAUGCGUGCUCGACGUUCAAAUGCACGUGAUGUUGAUAGGAAAUUUACUGAAACUUUCCAUGAGUGGUUGGGGGAAACUGUUUCUCGACGUAGUGAUGUGGUUGACGAAGUUAGAUUCCUUGCAAUAGGUCCAAACAGGGUUAUAAAAAGGUAUAAAGGGCUCAUCAUUAAUGGAUUUCGAUUUCAUACAAAAUCUUGGUAAAGAUGUAGAAGAACACAAAAUUCUGGAGUUCUUGUUACCUCUUCCACGAUAAGCUAUGCCAGUGCAAGGGAUGCUAAUCCAUUAGAAGGAAAUGUCGACUAUUAUGGGAUAUUGACUGAUAUAAUUGAGUUGGAUUAUUUCAACAAGUUCAAGGUUGUGCUAUUUCGAUGUGAUUGGGCUGAUGUGAAUACUA